AUGGCAAACAACACACAAACAACUGAUGUAUCAGGAGGACGGUCACGGAUGGACCAACGGAUCCUAGAAGCAGCCACCUGUGGUGAUUCCUCGUCAAUGAAAGAGUUGGCCAAGAAGAAUCCAAGCAUUCUGCUUGGAACAAGCCCACAAGGGAAUAACUGCCUCCACAUCUCCACCAUCCAUGGGCACAAAAAGUUCUGCAUGGAUGUGCUGGAACUAGAGCGGUCUCUCCUUCCAGAUGUCAACUGCGAGCAAGAGACGCCGCUUGUCAUCGCUGUUACACUUGGCCAUGCCCCUUUGGCUUCAGAUUUACUCAAGUGCUGCUGCAAAGAAGAAGAAUUGAGGCGGAUAAUCUUGCAACAGGACAGGUAUGGAUUCAACGCACUCCACCAUGCCAUUCGCAACGGCCACCAGAAACUCGCGCUGGAGUUGAUAGAAGCAGAGCCAGCCCUGUCGAAAGCCGUGACCAAGUACAAUGAGUCGCCCAUGUUCAUGGCCGUGAUGAGGAAUUUUACAGAUGUUUCCGAGAAGCUAUUGGCCAUUGCUGAUUCUUCUCAUGUGGGAAAGUAUGGCCGCCAUGCUCUUCAUGCUGCAGCUAGAAAUGGAAAUCAAUAUAUUGCGGGCGAAAUUAUGGACAAACGUCCUCUCCUGGCCAGAGAAGCUGACUCGGAUGGGAUUACUCCAAUAAGAAUGGCUAUAACUUACGACAAGUCUGACGUGCUGUGCAUAUUGCUGGAAUAUGAUUAUUCUUUAGCAUAUGAAACCGACAAGAAUGGUUAUCCUCUCCUCUGUUCAGCCGCUACUCGGGGUCAAGUUAAUGUUGCUCAAGUGCUUCUUCUCUAUUGCCAAGAUGCUUUUUAUUGCCAGGUACUCAGAGAUGGUACGGCAAUUGAAAAAAGUUUGACAUGCCUUCACAUAGCUGUACAGAACGGUCAUCUAGAGUUCGUCGAAUUUAUCUUGAAGAGGCCACAACUUCGGAAACUCAUUAACAUGCAAGACAUGGAUGGAAAAACUGCUCUACAUUACGCAAUCCAGCAGUGUGAUCCUAAACUUGUUGCUGCAUUACUGGCUUACGACGAUAUAAUAGACACAACAAUUCUCGACAACCAUGGUAAUUCAGCGGCUUCGCAAUUAUCGAGCAUCACUGAUGAUGACAAGCCUUUAGACUGGAAGGAAGUGCAGCUGCUUAUGCAAAAAGCUGAUCCCAACGAUGAUGACAUCUCAUUGUAUAAUCUAAGCAAGGGAGCCAAGCAACGGGAAACUAUUGAAUCAAGGAAGGAGAGGCAGUCACUAACUCAAAAAUACACAAGCAACACAUCACUCGUGGCAAUUCUACUUGCGACAAUAACCUUCACUGCUGCUUUCACUCCACCUGGAGGAUAUAGCACUGAUGCUGGAAGCGCAGGACUUCCCAUCAUGUCUAAACAGAUUGCAUUCCAAGCAUUCUUGGUCUCUGACACCUUAGCAAUGUGCUCUUCAUUUGUUGUGGCCUUCAUAUGCCUGAUGGGAAGGUGGGAGGAUGAUAAGUUCACAACUUAUUAUAUCUCAGUGACUAAGAAGCUUACUUGGUUUGCAUACAUGGCAACCAUUACAGCUUUUGCGACUGGUUUGUACACAGUGCUGGCCACGCGUACCCACUGGUUGGCCAUUGGGAUUUGCUCUGUGGUAGGUUUAGUGCCCUUUCUUACUAUGUUCAUAGCGAAAUGGCCUAUCUUGAAGCUCAAGUUUCGCCAAACUUGUCGUGGCUUGAGGCUCAAAUUUCGGCAACGCCAAACUGGCAAAUCCAAAUCCAAUGACAUGGUCUGA
rnacentral:rRNA from 1 species